GGGGCAGUAGUUCAGAUGGGAGAACGCCGCACUUGCACUGCGGAGGUCAGGGGUUCAACUCCCCUCUGCUCCACCA
rnacentral:tRNA from 1 species